UUACCCUUGCCUCUCUUCCGAUAAUUAAAUUUGAGCUUUCUUCUUGGUCUUCAUUUUGAUAGAAGAGGAUAGAGAUAGAGUGUGGCGACAGGCGCCUAAGCCUCUGACUGUGAAGCCCCAUGCGCAGAGGAAGAAAAGAAGGUUGAUGGCCUAAACAACAUUCUUUGCCCAUUUCUCAAUUUUGCCUGAGACAGGCUGGUGUGUGCAGUGCCUCCAGGAAUGAGACAUAGGGUGAUGGAAGUCCAAAGUUCAGUGAUGAAAUGGAAAGGCUGUCAUCAUCAGAUGUGUGGCCAAGAAGAAGGCAUCUGGAUGGAAGUACUGUGAGUUCUUAUGAGGGAACCCUGAAUGCCAGGAUGGUGGCUGCUUCUCACCAGCUCUAGACAGAUUCUCACCACCCCUAGUGUUCUGGGUGUGACCCUUGGCAACAGCCAGUGCCGA
rnacentral:lncRNA from 1 species